AAAUCACUAAUUAAAACCAGGAGCUCUUAACGCUGUGACCUAAAAUUGAAGUUCUCCAUAGGAUAUAAUAGGCACUCAAUAGUGUCUAUUUUGUCCUGAAGAGAUAUAUGA
rnacentral:snoRNA from 1 species